UUGGGCCUUAGUCCAAACCAAAUAAAUAGGAGUUGGCUCAAUUAGUUAGUUUUUAUUCCGCAAAUAAUUAGGAGUGGCUUAGUCAGUUAGUUUUUAUCAUCCAAAUAAAUAGGAGUUAGUUCAGUUAGUAUUCCCCAUAUAAAUAGGAGUGUAUGGGGCAGUAGAUAGAAGAGAUUAUUAUUUUCGGUUUUCCUUAUUAGGGUUUAGGCAGUGAGAGAAUUGUUCUCUGACUGAGGAGCAGUAGCUCUGGAAUUCUUUUUUGUUUUCACAUUCAUUAAUAAAAUAAUUUUCUCCAUUAUAUUCUAUCUUACCUCUGUUCUAUCAAUUGGUCCGACCUACCGGAGCGUCGAGGUGCCAGCAUUUGUGUCAUUCAAAGAUGAUUGCAGAAGAAGAAGUGUUAGAAGAAGGAAUGGUUGAGAGAAUUGACGCAAUUGAAUUGAGAAUGGGAAGAUUGGAAGAAUCGGUUCAAUCCUUUAAGUUGGAGUUUCGUCAAUUGCUAAGGACAGAGAUGGCUAAGCAUGUGGGGCAUAUUCCCGCAGAGAAUCUUAGCUCUGAUUGGAGUGUGUUUCCGAUACCAAAUGUUAUGAAAGAGAACUGUGGAACAGAGUUUCAUACAGAUGCAAAGUCGGAAAAGGGAGAUGCAAUGGAAAAGAAGGAAAGCAAUGGGGUGAGCAAAGAUGUGAUCCUUGUGGCUGAGAAACCAGAGAAGGGACUGAUGAAGUCACAGAGUUUAGAGUCACUAAUAUCACCUCCAUCUCAGAAGACUUUGAUCGCGUCGUCACCGGUCAGAUAUUGUUGGAAGAGGGUCCCUCCCCAUUCCAAAUCAUCAUGUUCGUGGAAAUCAUGGAUGGAGUUUCUACAUCUGACGCAAGCCAAGGAGAAGCACGAAAAUUAUAUAUUGGUGGCUCGCACACUGCCGCCGAAACCACCAGACAUUGGUUCAUUCGUGAAGCACCUUCUAAAGCAAAAACCGUCGGCCAAGCCGCCAGAUCUCAGUGAAUCCGUGGUCAGAGAGAGAGAGUAGAGAAGAGAGGAAAAAUGAAAAAGAUGAGGUGUCGCAUGUGCAUGCGGCUGCCGCCACCAGAUCCGCCAUAUGCAAAUUACAAUAUUAGUUUAGCGUGCAUCAUGGUUGCUGAAGGAGGGAAGGAUCCAAAAAAGUUGAGGCAAAAGCGACAAUUUCAAAUGGGUUUUAAAGAGAAAAGCUGCAGACCAUCAUCAAGAGAUAGUAAGAAUGAAGAUGUGCAACAGGUUCGAUUGUUUGAAGUCGGUCUAUCAAGUUCUCAACAAUGGGAUCCAGGGAGAUGCAAAAGCUAUAGUAGUGUUGUUGUUGUUGUGUCUCAAGAAAAUGAACUCCAAGUAUGGUUUUGUGGUUUGCUGAAGUGCAAAUUUGGUCUUGUUUUAGACCCACCAUUACCUUGCAAGGGAAGUGUUUGGCAUGUCAUUGUUAUAUGUUGAAAGACAUUUUCUCAUCUCAACCUUGAGGACAAGGUUGUAUUUUUGGUUGCCGGUAUUGUUAGGAUAUUGGUUUGGGCCUUAGUCCAAACCAAAUAAAUAGGAGUUGGCUCAAUUAGUUAGUUUUUAUUCCGCAAAUAAUUAGGAGUGGCUUAGUCAGUUAGUUUUUAUCAUCCAAAUAAAUAGGAGUUAGUUCAGUUAGUAUUCCCCAUAUAAAUAGGAGUGUAUGGGGCAGUAGAUAGAAGAGAUUAUUAUUUUCGGUUUUCCUUAUUAGGGUUUAGGCAGUGAGAGAAUUGUUCUCUGACUGAGGAGCAGUAGCUCUGGAAUUCUUUUUUGUUUUCACAUUCAUUAAUAAAAUAAUUUUCUCUAUUAUAUUCUAUCUUACCUCUGUUCUAUCAGUUACAUUGAUGUUUAAUAGAAAAGUUCAGCUUUGGGGAUUCUUACCAUAACUAUUACUUUUUUUACAAAUGUUAGUUCUACAUUUGGGUUUUUGAUUACUUUUAUUUUACAAAUGUUAGUGUUCUACAUUUGGGUUUUUCGAUUACUUUUAUUUUACAAAUGUUAAUUCUGAUUACUUUUAUUUUACAAAUGUUAAUUCUGACAGGGAUUAAGUUUCCAAAUCUCCGGAGAAAUUGGGGCAGUUUGGUAGGCCUCUCUUUGUUAUGUUAAUUUGUAACUCGGGGGUUUGAAGAAUUAUGCGAUUCUUCUCUCUUUCUUCUUGGUUCUUUUUCUACAACUCAUUUGUCGCAACAUAACAUUUUUAUAUAUCUAUUAUGUGUUGACAGAGUAACCGUUACAUGGGUUUUAAUGUACUACAUGAAUUUGGGGCAGCUUGGUGGGCCUCUCUUUGUGAUGUUGAUUUGCGACUUGGUGGUUUGAUGAAUUAUGCUACUGUUCUUUCUUUCUUCUGGGUUUAAAGAAUUAUGCGAUUAUUCUCUCUUUCUUCUUGGUUCUUUUUCUACAACUCAUUUGUCGCAACAUAACAUUUUAUAUAUAUUAUGUGUUGACAGAGUAACCGUUACAUGGGUUUUCAUGUACUACAUGAAUUUGGGGCAGCUUGGUGGGCCUCUCUUUGUGAUGUUGAUCUGCGACUUGGUGGUUUGAUGAAUUAUGCUACUAUUCUUUCUUUCUUAGUUAUUUUUCUACAACCCAUUUGUCACAUUAUAUUUUUGUGUAUAUCUAUCAUGUGUUGACAGAGUAAAUGUUACAUGGGUUUUGAUGUACUACAUAAAGAUACAUAAUCAUACUGCUCCUUUUUAAUUCGUCAUCCGAAGCGGAAAAAUAUGGUAGAGUAUUUCUUCCGCUUUGUACUACUUUCCUUCUGUGAUCAAAUCAACAAGGGCAAGUGGACCAUAUUGAUAUGUGGAUGUGCAUUUUAAUUUGGUGAUCUCUAUUCAGAUUAUGAAUUCUUUACGGUUCAAUAUUUUGUUUUAUCAUACACACUUGAUUCCUAUCAUCUUUGAGAUAAAGUUAUGCAUUUUUCUAUAUUACACAAUUCUUUUCCAGUUGUGUUUCUGUAUUCGUAACAUGAAUUUUACUCUGGUAUACAAGAUUCUGAGAUAACUUCGCCCUUCAAAAAAUGAGGAAUUUUGGAUAAGUUUGUUAGGUAAGAUGAUACUCUUUUACGUUUUUACUCCUAAAAUGAUAUCAUUAGACUGGCCUAAGGGUUCCUCUGUAUUUGGGUGGAAGCUUAAAUUGUGAUGUUUCAUAUUGAGUACAAGAUCUUGUAGAUUGGAUGGAAAUGAACCAUCAUGUUUUGUAGACUUUGUUGUCAUGCUUUAAUUUAGUCAGCUCUCUACUAAGAAAGACACUUCAUAUUUCCGGUCUUUUUUAUUGAUACUCAGCAAUUACAUAAAAUCCGAUCCUGAGAAUUUUCUUGGUGGGUGUUAUAGGGGAGAGACAUGAUGAAUUUCUGGUGUUCUGUGGCCUGUAGCAAGCAGAGGUUAUCAUACUUUCCUUUCAAUCUUGGGAUAAAUCCAAUCACUUUCUUACAAUGUGUUUGUUAUGGGAUUGAGGAUAGUUGUUCUCUGAUGGUGUGUCUAGUAGUAUUGGAGUUUGUGUUUUUUUAAUCAGGAAUUGGAACAUUGAAGCAUACAAGAUUCUAGAGUAUAUAUUUAUGCCUGCACUGAAGAUGAGGAAUUCAGGAGGCUUGCUGUGUUGUUCAGUUAGUUUUCACCUUUCUUUGUUCUAUCUAUUCUUGAUUUUUAAGUUUAAUUGAUUCUUGGGAGAGAAGGAAGAGACAGUUCAUGAAUUUGUGGUGUGCUAUGGCCCUUGGCAAGCAGAGGUUACCAUACUGUCCAUUCAACCUUGGGAUAAAACUCGUCACUUUUUUAUAUAUUUGUUUAGGGAUGGGGGAUAUUUGUCCUUUGAUGGUGUGUUCUGGCAGUAUUGGAGUUUGUGUUUUUGUAUCAGGAAUGUACUGAAGAUGGGGAAUUAAUGAGGCUUGGUGCUUUUUUCUAUUAUGUUGAUUUUCAUCUUUGUGUUUUAAGUUUAACUUAUUUCUUAAGAAUCUCUAUUUUAUUUUUGUGCAGUCUUGGUUUACUUUACUCUUUUGUACAGGAGGAAUAACUUGGUGGAAUUACUUUGUCCCGCUGAGCUGCUUAGUUUGCAAAAUUACAUUUGGCAAUUUUUCCCUUUUUUAUUAUUGGCAUCUCUGUCAUAAUGAGCAGGCUUUUCUGUAGAUUGAGAAAUUUGGAAUAGCUUGUUGUAAUCACUUUGUUCCUUUGACCUGCCACUUCUAGCUUCAUGUAAGAGACAGGCAAUCUUCUCUUGAGUUAAUCCUUGUCUUUUUUUCACCUCAAAAAAUUCUAAGACAUGUAGGUUCGUGCAGUGAUAAUUCAACAUGUCAUGGUUUGGCAUCAUUCUCAAAUAUCAAUUGCUGUCUUCUUCUGUGGGUCUAAGUGUUAUGCAUUAUGUUUGAGAUAUUGAAGACUUUUCUAGAUCAGGCCGUCUGCAAAAUAUUAUAGAUGAGUGACCGAAUUAUUUCUAUCCCUAGGAGAGGAAUAUAAAGUUUGAAUUUUUUAUAAUGUUUUUUAUUGUAGUUUUUUUAUUGUAGUUUUCUUGUUGGUUUCGAUAGAGAAUGUUGCAUGGUGUGGUGUGGUGUGAGAGUUUUUGGUGGAGAUUAUAGAUAAUUUUUUGUAACUGAUGUAUGUAUUUGUUUUAGAUUAUAGAUAAUUCUCUGAUGGUAGCCUGCAGCUGUAAUCAGUGAUGCGAACAUAUAUUUUAGAAUUUUGGUCAGCUUCGAUGGACUUGGGGAUGCUUUUCUAUACCUUCAUUUAUCUGGUGAAGUGCAUAGGAUUGACUCUCUUCUUGUAGGUUGUUAUUUCUUUGAUAUUUGCUUCAUAGAACACCACAUAUUUCUUAGUGCAUAACAAACGCGCUGUCUUGACAUCACUAGCAUUGGCUUGAUGGUGAUUUCUACUCGAUUAUGUAUCCUUUGUGCUUCGGCUGAUUCUUUGUAUUUUUAUCUCUUUGAAAUUGUAAAUGUAGUGUCAUGCAUUAUCUAAGAACAACCAACAUUCUGGAAUAUAAACUGAAAUGACUCUGUUUUUCUUAUGCAGAGUUGUGUGUUUUGAAACUAUAACAUCAUGUAGAUCCCCAGGUUUAUUUUGUUCCGAUUCUUAUUGCACUUCUUCCUGGUUUACUCUUUUAUGAUUUUCACUUGGAUAAGUCUUUUAUGAUUACCAUCAAUACUACUUUUUUUCUUCUUCUGAAAAGUGUAUGUUUUAAAUUUGGGUUUUUGAUCUAUAAUUUGACAGUAAAUAAGUUUAGACAUUUCUGGCUAGCCUUCUACUCUUCUAAUGUUACAUGGGUUUUGUACGGAAAAAGUUUCCUUCUUUCUCAAUCAAAUUGCACCUAGAUCAUGAGACCUCUUGGAAGUUGGGAAGAAUAGAAACAUCAUAAGAAUUAGGGGAAAGAUACGGGAAAAAAAUUUGAUAAAAAAAAAUCAUAUUGCGAGUAAAUACAGAUGCGAUGUGGAGAGGCAUUAUAACACAAGAACUUUUUUCUUAUUAAGACUAUAUCUCAUAAAUGCACAUUGAACGGAUUGUGCCUCAAGCUUAUGACGUUCAAGAGGCAGUAACUGAAUAAUACAUACACAACAAAAAGUGUGGAUAUUAUGAUAAUUGGGCUGAGGUUAAAAAGAUGUUGGGCUGAGGUUAAAAAGAUGAAAGCAAGGUGUAUCAAAAUCUAGAACUUGAGAUAGAAGACGGUAAGCUUCAACCCAAAAUUUUGAUGGAACAGAGAGGCCUGAAGCAGUAAUGUUAAUGUUCAAGCAAGUUGGUGAAAUUGGAGAUGACUGCUUCUACAAUGAACAAAUUAAUGAUCUGCUGCUAUUGAUGAGUUGUUCGGGUUUUGAUUGAUUGUUCCUCCAAUUUCUCUUUGAUUUAAUGCAUAGUUUUUUAUGGACAAUUAUUCAUUUGAUAAUCAAGAAAUAAUUUUUUAAGUAAAAUAGUAUUCAGAUGUCUAUUGAGAUGUGUUUAUCUUGUUGCAGCAUGUUGGUUUUCAGAUAUCUCUAACAUUUGGCAAUUAAUAAAAUGGAUAAGAGCAAGGGCUACCUAUACAAAUCAAUUCCUUCAAUGAGUCGUCCAUAUUAUUUUUAUUUUCAGGCUUUGAUCACAUUACAUGCAAAUUGAGUUGUGGACUUGUUUUUCGGCAGUGUUUUGAAAAAACAAUCUCUAUCUUUCAUUAUUGAGUGGAGGCUGAGUUUGAUUUGGUGAUUUCUAUAAAAAAAGUUCUGAUUUUCAACAAUUCUUAAAUAAUAAUUAUCUUUCAAUAGAAUGGAGCAAGGCCGUCUCAAUUUUUUGGAGGCCCUGUGUAGAUUAGUUAUGGUUCAACCAUGACAAAAUAAUUAGAAGCCCUACUUGCCUCCAUUUUAACAGUGGCAAAUAUUUAUGAGGCCCUAUUUAGUUACGAUUAAAUCGUAAAAAAUUUGAGGCCCUGUGCGGUAGUCCGUCUUGCACGUCUUUAAAGACGGCCCUGGAAUGGGGCCUGAAUUUUUGAUUUGAUGAUUUCUUUUAAAAUCUUUCUGGUUUUCAAUAAUUCUUUAUUGUUGUUGGAAUCAUAUUUCUCUUAAUUUUUUUUUCUGGUGUUGCAGGAAAUAUAAUUUUGUGAACACACGUGUCUUGUUUUAUUUUCUGGAGGCUCUGAUACGAUAUUAGAAUGUGUGAGUUAGACCUAACUCAACUCUACGAAAUCGGCUAGUAGGGCGAGGAUUGCUCCCACUUAUAAACAUAUGUUCAGGCUAUAUAUUGUUAAAUGUGAGACUCUUAACACAUAUGAAUUGAAAAAUGAGUCUUUUUUUCUUCUUAGUUGUGUUUUGAAACAAUAAUUUUGUGUAUUGGAUAAGUCUUUUGAUUUUGAUGUUUAAUUGAAAGGGGUUCUUACCAUCAAUACUACUUUUUUCCUGCCAAAAUGUAUGUUCUAAAUUUGGGAUUUUGAUCUAUAAUUUGACAGAAAAAGUUUACACAUUUCUGGUGAGCCUUUGAGUGUUACAUGGGUUUGGUGUACUUAAAAAGUUUCCUUCUUUCUCAAUCACAUUGCACCUGUUUAAUUGGGUUACAAAAGUCUCCUUCAGCUUAUAUGUUUAUUUCACUUUAUUCUUUAUACCUAGAAAAUGAGAUUCAUCUUCCGAAGUGUAGAAAUCAGAGAUGGUAUUUUCUUCUCCUUAGACUCGUUGGAUGAAGUGGAGAUGUAGAGAUGAGCGCUUUUGAUGAUUUGUGCUACAUAUCUCUGAAAAAAUAAAAAGGACAUAUGGCCCAUAACUUUUUGUUAGUUAUUUUUAAAUUAUAUGUUCUUUUAGUUUUUAUGGGUUUGUGUCUAUUUGUAUCAGUUACUUGAGUUUUACUUUGGUUUUGGAGUAACACCGCUUUUCCGAAAAUGAGGAAUGCCUUCUGAAAUUCCAAGACUAGUUAUAAAAAUAAUUCAUGUUCAAAUAAAAUUUAGUUUGGUUUUUCCUUCAAAAACGACUUCUAAGAUUGCCAAAUGUUAAUCAACUAAUAAUAGAUUGUAACAUAUGACACAAGACAGGGGAAGGUUUCUCCAACAUAUAUUUGUAUUGCUUUUAUUCCUGCCUUGAUGGUAGCAGGACUUUACUUCUUUGAUCAUAGUGUUGCAACUGGGAUGGCACAGCAGAAAGAAUUCAAUCUCAAGAAAUCUUCUGCUUAUGAUUAUGACAUACUUUUAUUCGGAUUCAUGGUAUCUAUCGAUAUACACCAAUUACGUAACUCGUCAUCACUAAUAUAAUCAUACCUAAUUCUUUGUUAUGACUAAAACAUUUCAAACUUUGCUAUGUGGACUACUUGGAUUACCACCUUCAAUUGUUGUUCUUCCUCAAUUCCCUGUGCACACCUUGAGCCCUACAGUUCUCAAGGGUCUAAUGAUCAGAAGAAAAAAAAAGGUUGAAACUAUAAGAAAGAAAGCUAGUAACACUGAAAUCUACGGGAAGAUGCAAGCAUUGUUUGUAGAAAUGGACAAUAACUCUGUUACUUAUGUGGAAAGAGAAUUAGAGAACUUAAAAGAGGUAGUUCUAAAGGAGAAAUGGAUAUCUUGGAUAGGUUUUAUUUUCUUUGACUAUUUGCUUGUUGGGUACACUUUGGAAAGGGAGUGAUGAUAUUCUGUUAUUGUUUAUUGGUUUGAUUGUUAUUUGUGAUUUAUGAUUUGUACUCCUAAUAGUGUUGGGGGUUUUUGUAUCAAGAGGUCGAAUGUUGAAGCAUACAAGAUUCGUCUGCUAGCGCCAAGGUUGGAGAAUUUUGGAAAGCUUGGUUUGGCGCUGUUUUGUUCUAUUGGUUUUGCACAUCUUUUGUUAUAUUUUUUUCUUAUCAUUUGCUAUUUAUAAGAAUAGAAAUAUUUUCUCCCAAAACAUUAUCACUCAGAUUUGGAGUAUAGCUAUGGGAUGGGGCUUAAUCUACAAUUUCAUUUGGUGAUCUCUACUCCAAGUAUAAAUUUUUCACUUUUCUUUGUCUUAAUUUAAGGCCUAAUUUUCUCAAAUCAUUCAUGAGUUCUCUUCAUAUUGCUCGGUUUUUAUUGACGAUCUAGUUUCCUCGACUCUAUCAUGAGUUCCCCGUGGAUUUCACACAGGAAUACAUACUGUGAAGGCUGUAGCAGAGAUCAUCGUGGGCAUGGUUUUCUUCAUGUUACAGGGCUGAUAGGCUAUGAAUGUACUGUGGAAUUUGAAAACUAUCACAAACAUUAGUGAAGACAUGUUUCUAGCCUUUGGAUUUAACGGGGUCUUUGUGUUCAGAAUUAGAUUGUCAUCUUUUUUGCAGUACACAUCCCCUCUUUUUUGACAGUUGGUGGGAUAUGUGUCUGCUCUUGCAGUGAGUUGAUGUUUGGAUAUCUAGAAUGCUUGGUGAUAUGCUUAAAUCAGAUUUCUUCGAUGAUCUAUCCUAUGCUAUUUUUUAUUAUCGGGCCCUGUUCAUAGAAUAUACAAAGUGAAUUGCAAAUAUAAUUUUUUGCCGCAUUUGUUCUUAUUAGCAAUAGAGCCUAGUGUUUGAUUUAUGUGAUCUCUAGUAAAUUCUUUUUGUUUUAGUAUUUCUAUGUUGAUUAUGAGAGGCUAUAUUUCUUGAUAUGUUAUUUUCCUCAUUGGUAUUGCAAAAGAGGUAUUUUCCUCGGCUCUAUCUUCCUUUUUUUCCUUGGUUACUAUGGUCUCUAAGUCUCUUGACAUUGAGGUUUGUUUAGGUUAUUGAACUUUGCUCUUAAAUAUAAAUUUUCAAUUCUUUUUGAAUUUUUGCUUAAUUAUUUGCUGUAAUUCUUUAUUCAAUGAUUGAGCUAUGCUCUCAAAAAUAAAGGAAUAUUGAGAUAUGCAUUUAACCGUUCAGCGCCGAUGUGAUUUCUGGAUAUCUAAAUCAGGCCUUUACAUGAAUUAUGAAUUAUUUUCAUUUCUUCAGAUUUUUAUUGCACGACUUUUUGAUUUAUUCCUUAAUGAUUUGCACUUGGCUGUUUCAGUUGAGAAAGUUACAUUGAUGUUACUUAUUCUGACAGGGAAUAAGUUUCCAUAACGCCGGAGAAGUUGGGGCAGCUUGGUGAGCCUCUCUUUGUUAUGUUAAUUUGUGACUUGGUGGUUUGAAGAAUUAUGCAAUUAUUCUUUCUUUUUUCUUGGUUCUUUUUCUACAACUCAUUUGUCACAACGUAACAUUUUGUAUAUCUAUCGUGUUGAAUGAGUAACUGUUACACGGCUUUUGAUGUACUACAUGAAGUUGGGGUAGCAUGGUGGGCCUCUCUUUGUUAUGUUGAUCUGCGACUUGAGGGGUUUGAUGAAUUAUGCUAUAAUUAUUUCUUUCUUCUUGGUUCUUUUUCUACGAUCCAUUAGUCACAGCAUAAUUUUGUGUAUAUCUAUCAUGUGUUGACAGAGUAAAUGUUACCUGGGUUUUGACACUACAUAAAGAUUUAUAAUCAUACUGCUCUUUUUUAAUUCGUCAUCCGAAGCGGAAAAAUUGGAGACGAGUAUUUCUUCUGCUUUGUACUACUCUCCUUCUAUGGUUGAAUCAACAAGGGCAUGUGAACCAUAAUGAUAUCUGGAUGUGUGUUUCAAUUUGGUGAUCUCUACUCGUAUUAUGAAUUCUUUACAGUUCAGUAUUUUGUUUCAUCAUACACGCUUGAUUCCUAUCACCUUUGGGAUAAAAUUGUGCAUUUUUUUAUAAUACACAAUUCUUCCAAUUUUAUUUCUAUAUUCGUAACAUGAAUUUUACUCUAGUUUAAAGCAUACAAGAUUAUGAGGUAACUCCGCCCUUCCAAAAAUGAGGAAUUUUUGAUAAGUUGGUUAGAUGAGAUGAAAUUCUUUUACAUUUAUACUCAUAAAACAAUAUCUUCUUCGUUACAAUGGCCUAAGUAAGGUCUUUCUCUGUAUUAGGAGGUAGCUUAAAUUGUGAUGUUUCAUAUUGAGUACAAGAUCUUGUAGAUUGGAUGUAAAAACCAUCAUAUUUUGCAGACUGUUGCCAUACCUUAAAUCUACAAGAGCUCUACUAAGAAAGAUAUUUCAUAUUUACAUCUUUUUUAUUGGUAUUCCACAAUCACAUAAAUCUGAUCCAAGAAAUUUUCUGUGGUUGUUAUAGGGGAGAGACAUAAUGAAUUUUUGGUGUUCUGUGGCCUGUAGCAGGAAGUGGUUAUCAUAGUUUCAUUUCAAUCUUGGAUAAAUCUAGUCACUUUCUUACAAUGAAUUUUUGGUGUUCUUCGUUUUUUAAAUUUAACUGAUUCUUAAGAAUCUCAAUUUUAUUCAUGUGCAGUCUUGGUUACUUUACUCUUCUGUACAGGAGGAAUAGCUUGGUGGAAUCACUUUGUUUCGCUGAUCUUGUCUUGGUUUGCAAAAUUACAAUUCCCUUUUCCUCCUUUUUUGUUUACAUUUUUAUUACAGUUCCUUCUUUUUUAUUGACAUCUCUGUCACACUUGUGUAAGGAAGAAUAACUUGGUGGAAUUACUUUGUUCCGCUGACCUGCUUUUUAGUUUGCAAAAUUACUCUCGGCCAUUUUCCCCUUUUUUUAUUGGCAUCUGUCACAAUGAUGUAAGGUUCUAUUUUCUCAUCGUAAUGAGCAUGCUUUUAUUUAGAUGGAGAAAUUAGGAAUAGCUUGUUGUAAUCAAUUUCAUCCUCUGACCUGACACUUGGCUUAGAUUACUACACUUCUAGUUUCAUGUAAGCAACAGGCGAUCUUCUCGAGUUAAUCCUCGUCUUUUUUCACCUCAAAAAAUUCUUAGACAUGUAGGUUUGUGUAGUGAUAAUUCAACAUGUCAUGGUUUGGAAUCAUUCUCAAAUAUCAAUUGCUGUCUUCUUCUGUGGGUCUAAGUGUUAUGCAUUAUGUUUGAGAUAUUGAAGAUUUUUCCAGAUCAGGCCGUCUACCAAAUACUAUAACUGAGUGACCUAGUUAUUUCUAUCCCUUUGAGAGAAAUAUAAAUUUUGUACUUUUGAUUAUGUUUUUUAUUGUAGUUUUCUGGUUGUUGGUAUCUAUAGAGAAUGUUGCAUGGUGUGUUGUGGUGCAAGAUUUUUGGUGGAGAUUAUGGAUAACUUUUUGCAACUUGAUGUAUGUAUUUGUUUUGGAUUAUAGAUAAUUUUCUGAUGGUUUGAGCUAGCCUGCAGCUGUAAUCAGUAUUGGGAAAAAUAUAUAUUUUAGAAUUUUGGUCAGCUUCGAUGGACUUGGGGAUGUUUUUCUAUACCCUUCAUUUAUCCGGUGAUGUAAAUUGGUUUGAAUCUCUUCUCGAAGGUUGUUAUUUCUUUGUUAUUGCUGCAUAGAACACCACAUAUUUCUUAGUGCAUGCAUAACAAACACAGCGUCUUGACAUCACUAACAUUGGCUUGACGGUUAUUUCUACUCGGUUAUGUAUCCUUUGUGCUCGGCUGAUUCUUUGUAUUUUUAUCUCUUAGAAAAUGUAAAUGUAGUGUCAUGCAUUAUCUAAGAACAACCAAUAUUCUAGAAUAUAUCUCAUUGCUUAACCCAGAGUGAGGGGCUUCUAUCUUCGUUUCGAUGUAGAUCGCAUCGAGCUUGGUACACACUUUGCUCAGUAGCUAGAAACUGUGUGUUAACUCAUGUUUUUUGUGAGGUGUCUUAAUUACAAUAAUCAUGCACAUGUUUAUUCAUUAUGAUUUCUUUAGGCACACUCACAGUGAUAAUAGCAUUCUAUUCAAGUGUGGUUAAAAUGGACAAUGUAUGGCUGGCCGAGGCAGUUUUACCACCCCUACGUCUAUGCCAUUGAGUGAAGUUUGAAUGUCUAGAAUGUUUGGAAAUACUUAAUGUAAUGGAGAAGAAAGGAGAGUUCGUAUAAAUCAAAUAUCUUUAAUGAUUCAUCCUUCACUAUUUUUAUUUUCGGGUUCUAUUUGUAAGACAUAAGUUGAUUUGUGAACUUACUCAAUAAUGUAAGACAAAGUAUUGUACUUAUCACAGAGCCUCAACUUUGAUUUGGUGAUCUCUAGUAAAUUCUUUUACUUCAAGUAUUCUUUAAAUCCUGAAAGGCAUAUAUUUGUUGAUUUGUUAUUUUUGCUUUUGGUGUUGCUGAUGAACACACAAUUCCUUUUAGUUCAUCUUUCUCUUAUUUGUUAUUCAAGUUCUUGCAUUCUCAAUAUUUUCCCUUGGUUGCUUUGGUUUCUUGAUAUUGCUGUCUUAUUUGGUUCUUGAUGGUAUCGAUAUUGACGAGCUGUUCGGGUUUUGAUUGAUUGUUCUUCCAAUUUCUUUGAUUUUUAUGGACAAUUAUUCAUUUGAUAUUCAAGUAUUAACGUAAAAUAUUGAGAUGUGUUUAUCCUUGUCGAACAUGUUGAUUUUUAGAUAUAUCAUUUGUCAAAUCUUUAUGAAGUGGAUAAGAACAAGGGCUACUGAUAUAAAAAUCAAUUCCUUCAAUAAGUCAUUCUCUAUUAUUUUUAUUUUCAGGCUUUGAUCAUAUUACAUAUAAAAUUGAAUUGUGAACUUGUUUUUCUGCAGCAGUUUGCAAAAAUAAUCUCUAUCUUUCAUUAUGGAGUGGAGCCUCUGAGUUUUGAUUCGGUGAUUUCCUUAAAAAAAAUUCUGGUUUUCAUCAAUAUUUAAAAAAUAACUAUCUUACAAUAGAGUGGAUCGUCUGAAUUUUGAUUUGAUGAUUUCUUUUAAAAUCUUUCUGGUUUUCAACAAUUCUUUAUCGCAAUUGAAACCAUAUUUUUCUUAAUUUUUUAUUUUCUUUGGUGCUGCAGGAAAGGUAAAAAUUUUAACAGAUGUACCUUCUUGUUUUAUUUUCUUUUGUUUGGUAUUCAUGUUUUGUAUUUGCUUCUGGUAUUGAUCGCCAUACAUAUAAACUGAAAUGACUAUUUUUUCUUAUGCAGAGUUGUGUGUUUUGUUCCGAUUCUUAUUGCACUUCUUCCUGGUUUACUCUUUUAUGAUUUCCACUUGGAUAAGUCUUUUGAUUUUGAUGUUUAAUUGAAUUGUUCAGCCUUAGGGGUUUUUACCAUCAAUACCACUUUUUUUUCUCUAAAGUGUAUGUUCUAAAUUUGGGUUUUUGAUCUAUAAUUUGACAGUAAAAAAGUUUAGCAUUUCUGGUGAGCCUUCUAUGCUUCUAGCGUUACAUGUGUUUGGUUACUUAAAAAGUUUCCUUCUUGUUCAGCCUUUGAAUUUUCUUGGUGGGUGUUAUAGGGGAGAGACAGGAUGAAUUUGUGGUGUUCUGUGGCCUGUGGUAAGCAGAGGCUAUCAUAUUGUCCUUUCAACCUUGGAAUAAAUCCAGUCACUUUCUUACAAUGUGUUUAUUUUGGGAUUGAGGAUACUUGUUCUCUGAUGGUGUGUCUAGGUAGUAUUGGAGUUUGUGUUUUUGUAUUAAGAACUGGAACGUUGAAGCAUAUGAGAUUCUAAAGUAUAUCUUUUUGCCUGCACUAAAGAUGAGGAAUUCAGGAGGCUUGGUUUUUUGUUUGGUUAGUUUUCAUCUUUCUUUAUUCUAUCCUUGAUUUUUAAGUUUAAUUGAUUCUUGGGAGACAAGGGAGACAGUCCAUGAAUUUAAUGGUGAGUUAUGGUCUGUGGCAAGUAGAGGUUACCAUACUGUCCAUUCAACUUUGGGAUAAAACCUGUCAUUUUUACAUAUUCCUUUUGGGAUUGGGAAUAUUUGUCCUUUGAUGGUGUGUCCUGGUAGAUUGGAGUUUGUGUUUUUUUAUCAGGAACGUACGGAAAAUGAGGAAUUCAGGAGGCUUGGUGCUCUCUUCUAUUCUGUUGGUUUUCAUCUUUCUUGUUAUAUACUUUGUUUUUAAUAUUUAAUUGAUUCUUAAGAAUCUCUAUUUUAUUUUAUGUGCAGUCUUGGCCACUAUACUCUUCUGGAAAGGAGGAAUAGCUUGGUGGAAUCACUUUGUUCCGCUGACCUCAUCUUGGUUUGCAAAAUUACCCUUCCCUUCUUUUCUUUUUAUUAAUGACAUCUGUCAGUGGUUUAAGGAAGAAUUGGUUUGCUCCGCUGAUUUGCGUCUUGGUUUGCUAAAUUACACUUGGGCACCCUUCUCCCCUUUUUUUACUGACAUCUCUGUCAUAGUGCUAUAAGGUUCUAUUUUCUCGGCAUAUUGAGUAUGCUUUUCUGUCGAUGGAGGAAUUCGAAAUAGCUUGUUGUAAUUACUUUGUGCAGCAAUAAUUCAAUAUGUCAUGGUUUGGUAUCA